GUCCAGCAAAGCAGGAAGUCAAUGGAUGAGGUAAAAGGGUGGGCCACUGAUGCAAAUCAUGCCAAAAGGGGCGUACAUGCCCAAAAAGGGGGUAUGUCUGUUCAAAGAAUUGGAAGGCCAGCCUGGCAUCAGUGUCCCUAUCUAUCACAGUGUCGGUGUCCCCAUAUUGCCCAUUACCCUAGUCACCCAGUGUCUGUGUCCCCAUUUCUCCUAGUGUCCCCAUGUC